UACGUAGGUGGCAAGCGUUAUCCGGAAUUAUUGGGCGUAAAGAGCGCGCAGGUGGUUGAUUAAGUCUGAUGUGAAAGCCCACGGCUUAACCGUGGAGGGUCAUUGGAAACUGAGGGACUUGAGUACAGAAGAGGAGAGUGGAAUUCCACGUGUAGCGGUGAAAUGCGUAGAGAUGUGGAGGAACACCAGUGGCGAAGGCGACUCUCUGGUCUGUAACUGACGCUGAGGUGCGAAAGCGUGGGUAGCAAACAGGAUUAGAUA
rnacentral:rRNA from 1 species